rnacentral:rRNA from 1 species
CCUACGGGAGGCAGCAGUGAGGAAUAUUGGUCAAUGGACGCAAGUCUGAACCAGCCAUGCCGCGUGCAGGAAGACGGCUCUAUGAGUUGUAAACUGCUUUUGUACGAGGGUAAACGCAGACACGCGUAUCUGUCUGAAAGUAUCGUACGAAUAAGGCUCGGCUAACUCCGUGCCAGCAGCCGCGGUAAUACGGAGGAUUCAAGCGUUAUCCGGAUUUAUUGGGUUUAAAGGGUGCGUAGGCGGUCGGAUAAGUUAGAGGUGAAAUCCCGAGGCUCAACUUCGGAAUUGCAUCUGAUACUGUGCGGCUAGAGAGUAGAUGCGGUAGGCGGAAUGUAUGGUGUAGCGGUGAAAUGCUUAGAGAUCAUACAGAACACCGAUUGCGAAGACAGCUUACCAAGCUACUUCUGACGUUGAGGCACGAAAGCGUGGGGAGCAAACAGGAUUAGAUACCCUUGUAGUC